CUUGGACUUUCUCACCCUGGGGC
rnacentral:piRNA from 1 species